UCGUUGACUAACCAUGUUGUACAACUAGUACUGUUUGACAUCAGGAAUAACAAAAGCUAGGUUGAUGAUUAUUGCUAUGUUGAUGGCUGCAGAGUGACACAAUGGCAGGGUUGGUCCCCGGUAACCGGAUGGGUCAUAUACAUCAUCAACCAAAGAAGGGAUCCUAUGACAUGAAGAGAACAUAGAAAAGUCUGGUUUGGUUACUGUGGUCCCUAAUGUUACACCUCCUUCUAGAGCAGCUAAACAGAAAAAAACGGCACAUUUACAUCAUUCAUGGGAGACACGUGGAAACAUUACUGGUUUCCAAAAUGUGCCAUCGUAAGAUAUAUGUCAAGCUUUACAUGAAAACAGCCACCGUUAAUCUAUUCAUGAGCCAGUUGUAGAUAUUUCAUCGACAUGGCACUUGGCCAGUUUUUUGGGGAGAUCAUCCGUUCCAGCAUAGAACUUUUCUCAUUCUACGACUAUGUCUAACGUUUCACAAUUAGACUAUAAGUAGUGUCUGAAUGCUGGUAUGUUGGCGUUUAAUAGCACUUCUGUUACCAGGUGGUACAUCACCAUAUAGUCCAAGUGGCGGCAAUUCAAGAAAGGUGAUGUAUGUAAAGCAAGAUAAUACUCUGGUGAAGUAUUGACCUCUGUUGACUUAUAGGCAAGUGAUGCUUUUGUACAGUACACAUACAUUGCUAUUUCAAAUUGAGUGCCAUGGUGGAAAUCAAAAUCGAAACGAGUACCUUUGAUGACUUAUAAACAAGUGACGUGUUUGAAGAGUACAAAUACAAUGAUGUUUCAAAUUGAGUUCCACGAUGAAAACAACUAUUGCACAUGUAACAUCCCCUUAGCCCAAUGAUAUCAUGGGAGGAGCACACGCGUAUGCACCGUGCUAGCUUUAUACAUGAUCUCUUCAUAA